GGUUAAGUGACUAAGCGUACACGGUGGAUGCCUAGGCAAUCAGAGGCGAAGAAGGACGUGCUAAUCUGCGAAAAGCUUGGAUGAGUUGAUAAGAAGCGUUUAAUCCAAGAUAUCCGAAUGGGGAAACCCAGUAGAUGAAGAAUCUACUAUCAAUAGAUGAAUACAUAGUCUGUUGAGGCAAACCGGGAGAACUGAAACAUCUAAGUACCCCGAGGAAAAGAAAUCAACCGAGAUUUUGUCAGUAGCGGCGAGCGAAAGCGAAAGAGCCAGCAAGUGAUAGCAGCAAAGACAGAAGAAUUGGCUGGAAAGCCAAGCGACACAGGGUGAUAGCCCCGUAUUUUAAGUUUAUGUUGUGGUACUAAACUUGCAACAAGUAGGGCGGGACACGAGAAAUCCUGUUUGAAGAUGGGGGGACCAUCCUCCAAGGCUAAAUACUCCUGAUUGACCGAUAGUGAACCAGUACUGUGAAGGAAAGGCGAAAAGAACCCCAGUGAGGGGAGUGAAAUAGAACCUGAAACCGUGUACGUACAAGCAGUGGGAGCCCUUUUGGGUGACUGCGUACCUUUUGUAUAAUGGGUCAGCGACUUAUAUUUUGUAGCGAGGUUAACUGAAUAAGGGAGCCGAAGGGAAACCGAGUCUUAACUGGGCGGUGAGUUGCAAGGUAUAGACCCGAAACCCGGUGAUCUAGCCAUGGGCAGGUUGAAGGUUGGGUAACACUAACUGGAGGACCGAACCGACUAAUGUUGAAAAAUUAGCGGAUGACUUGUGGCUGGGGGUGAAAGGCCAAUCAAACCGGGAGAUAGCUGGUUCUCCCCGAAAUCUAUUUAGGUAGAGCCUUAUGUGAAUACCUUCGGGGGUAGAGCACUGUUUCGGCUAGGGGUCCAUCCCGGAUUACCAACCCGAUGCAAACUGCGAAUACCGAAGAGUAAUGCAUAGGAGACACACAGUGGGUGCUAACGUCCAUCGUGGAGAGGGAAACAACCCAGACCGCCAGCUAAGGUCCCAAAGUCUAUAUUAAGUGGGAAACGAAGUGGGAAGGCUUAGACAGCUAGGAUGUUGGCUUAGAAGCAGCCACCAUUUAAAGAAAGCGUAAUAGCUCACUAGUCGAGUCGGCCUGCGCGGAAGAUGUAACGGGGCUAAAAUAUAGCACCGAAGCUGCGGCAUCAGGCGUAUCACAAAUACGCCUUCGAUUAACAACAUCGAAUGAAGUGAAACGGAAUAAGAUGUUGGUCAAGCACCCAACACGUUGAGUUGGCAUAAAGUGCGGAUAGAAAUCAGAGGAAUAUUUGUGAUACGCCUGUUGGGUAGGGGAGCGUUGUGUAAGCGGAUGAAGGUGAAUCGAGAGGUUUGCUGGACGUAUCACAAGUGCGAAUGCUGACAUAAGUAACGAUAAAACGAGUGAAAAACUCGUUCGCCGGAAGACCAAGGGUUCCUGUCCAACGUUAAUCGGGGCAGGGUGAGUCGGCCCCUAAGGCGAGGCUGAAAAGCGUAGUCGAUGGGAAACGGGUUAAUAUUCCCGUACUUGGUAAAGCUGCGAUGUGGGGACGGAGAAGGUUAGGUUAGCAGACUGUUGGAUGUCUGUUUAAGUUGGUAGGUGGGAAGUUUAGGCAAAUCCGGACUUCCAUAACACUGAGAGAUGAUGACGAGUUUCUACGGAAAUGAAGUAACUGAUACCACGCUUCCAGGAAAAGCUACUAAGCGAAAGGCUUUACUAAACCGUACUGAAAACCGACACAGGUGGUCAGGUAGAGAAUACUCAGGCGCUUGAGAGAACUCGGGUGAAGGAACUAGGCAAAAUAGCACCGUAACUUCGGGAGAAGGUGCGCUGGCGUAGGUUGUAAGAGUAUACCUCCGAAGGCUGAACCAGUCGAAGAUACCAGCUGGCUGCAACUGUUUAUUAAAAACACAGCACUCUGCAAACACGAAAGUGGACGUAUAGGGUGUGAUGCCUGCCCGGUGCUGGAAGGUUAAUUGAUGGUGUUAUCGAAAGAGAAGCUCCUGAUCGAAGCCCCAGUAAACGGCGGCCGUAACUAUAACGGUCCUAAGGUAGCGAAAUUCCUUGUCGGGUAAGUUCCGACCUGCACGAAUGGCAUAAUGAUGGCCAGGCUGUCUCCACCCGAGACUCAGUGAAAUUGAAAUCGCCGUGAAGAUGCGGUGUACCCGCGGCUAGACGGAAAGACCCCGUGAACCUUUACUAUAGCUUGACACUGAACAUUGAAUUUUGAUGUGUAGGAUAGGUGGGAGACUAAGAAGCAGGCACGCCAGUGCUUGUGGAGUCGUCCUUGAAAUACCACCCUUUAACGUUUGAUGUUCUAACGAAGAUUACGAAACGUGGUCUCGGACAGUGUCUGGUGGGUAGUUUGACUGGGGCGGUCUCCUCCCAAAGCGUAACGGAGGAGCACGAAGGUUUGCUAAUCACGGUCGGACAUCGUGAGGUUAGUGCAAUGGUAUAAGCAAGCUUAACUGCGAGACAGACAAGUCGAGCAGGUGCGAAAGCAGGUCAUAGUGAUCCGGUGGUUCUGAAUGGAAGGGCCAUCGCUCAACGGAUAAAAGGUACUCCGGGGAUAACAGGCUGAUACCGCCCAAGAGUUCAUAUCGACGGCGGUGUUUGGCACCUCGAUGUCGGCUCAUCACAUCCUGGGGCUGAAGUAGGUCCCAAGGGUAUGGCUGUUCGCCAUUUAAAGUGGUACGCGAGCUGGGUUUAGAACGUCGUGAGACAGUUCGGUCCCUAUCUGCCGUGGGCGUUGGAGAAUUGAGAGGGGCUGCUCCUAGUACGAGAGGACCGGAGUGGACGCAUCACUGGUGUACCAGUUGUCUCGCCAGAGGCAUUGCUGGGUAGCUAAAUGCGGAAGAGAUAAGUGCUGAAAGCAUCUAAGCACGAAACUCGCCUUAAGAUGAGUUCUCCCUAGCUAUAAGCUAGUAAGGGUUGUUGAAGACUACGACGUAGAUAGGUCUGGUGUGUAAGCGGUGUGAGCCGUUGAGCUAACAGAUACUAAUUGCCCGAGAGGCUUAACUAU
rnacentral:rRNA from 1 species